ensembl:snRNA U6 U6 spliceosomal RNA
GUGCUCAUUUCGGCAGCACACAGACUAAAAUUGGAAUGAUACAGAGAGCAUUUGUGUGGCCCCUGCACAAGGAUGACAUGCAAAUUUGUGAUGCAUUCCAUUAUUUU